UCUCAUUUUUAAGCGAAAAUAAUGAAAUAUAAUUAUUAUAAAAAAAAUUAUUGGUUCACUAUAUUGUCAAAUUAUGGACACAAACCAACUUUUAAGCCAACAUCUACACUUCUUGCAAUGAUGCCAGGUAAAACAAUCAUAUGAUACGCUUAGGGAUGUUAAAAUGGUAAGGGCACCUGCAAAGGUGGACCUGGAGAACUCGAUUUCCAAUGUUAAAUUUUAAUUAUUUUAUUAGAUUUUUUUUCUUUUUCGUUUAAUUAAAAAAAAAAAAAUUAAAAACGGAUCAAUCGUAGACCGCCACGUAUCGUGGGACCCACGACACAGUAACGAAAAGCACCUAGGAUCAAUCCUUAUGUUAGGAAUUUUCGGAUUGAUCCUUACAAAAUUUGUACCCCACACCAAUAUUUUAAUAUUUCUUUUUUAUGGAUUCGAGCUAUGGAUUCCUUGUUGCACAUGCUCUAACACCCACCCCAUUUAAACUCACCCCGUUUAAGACCCACUCCGUUUAAGACCCACUCCGUUUAAGACCCACCCCAUU
rnacentral:lncRNA from 1 species